rnacentral:rRNA from 1 species
GUACGGCGAGUGAGCGGCAACAGCUCAAAUUUGAAAUCUGGCCUCUUGGGGUCCGAGUUGUAAUUUGUAGAGGAUGUUUCGGGUACCGCCUCGGUUUAAAUUUCUUGGAACAGAAUGUCAAAGAGGGUGAGAAUCCCGUCUUGGACCGGCGGUAGGGCCUAUGUGAAACUCCUUCGACGAGUCGAGUUGUUUGGGAAUGCAGCUCAAAAUGGGUGGUAAAUUUCAUCUAAAGCUAAAUAUUGGCCAGAGACCGAUAGCGCACAAGUAGAGUGAUCGAAAGAUGAAAAGCACUUUGAAAAGAGAGUUAAACAGUAUGUGAAAUUGUUGAAAGGGAAGCGCUUGCAACCAGACUUGAGCGCGGCGGUUCCCCCUUGCUUCUGCUUGGGCUACUCCGCCGUGUCCAGGCCAACAUCGGUUCUGGGGGUCGGUUAAAGGCCCUGGGAAUGUAUCUACCUACGGGUAGACUUAUAGACCAGGGUGUCAUGCGACCUCCCGGGACCGAGGAACGCGCUCGGCUCGGAUGUGCGUAAUGGUUGUCAGCGACCCG